rnacentral:misc_RNA from 1 species
GGGGAGCUUUUUUACAAGUUCCUUGAUUUGCUUUAUAAGUGAGUAACAGCACCUUUCUUUCUCCAGUCCAUGCUAGGAGGGACAACAGUCACAUUUUCAUACUUAAAUGAUGUUUUCUCUAACCUUUUGGAUCCAAGCCUCUUAUAUCCUUUAUGGGUAGCCUGAAACUCUGCAAUGGUUUGAUCUGCAAAUUUGUUAAUGCCUAGCUUGUAAGUUUUGUGACCG